UAAUUGAAGAGUUUGAUCAUGGCUCAGAUUGAACGCUGGCGGCAGGCUUAACACAUGCAAGUCGAGCGGUAACAGAGAGUAGCUUGCUACUUUGCUGACGAGCGGCGGACGGGUGAGUAAUGCUUGGGAAUAUGCCUUGGAGUGGGGGACAACAGUUGGAAACGACUGCUAAUACCGCAUAACGUGCUUACUGUGGUGGUAAGUACCAAAGGGGGGGAUCUUCGGACCUCUCGCUUCUUGAUUAGCCCAAGUGAUAUUAGCUAGUAGGUGAGGUAAUGGCUCACCUAGGCGACGAUCUCUAGCUGGUUUGAGAGGAUGAUCAGCCACACUGGGACUGAGACACGGCCCAGACUCCUACGGGAGGCAGCAGUGGGGAAUAUUGCACAAUGGGCGAAAGCCUGAUGCAGCCAUGCCGCGUGUGUGAAGAAGGCCUUCGGGUUGUAAAGCACUUUCAGUUGUGAGGAAAGGAGGGUAGUUAAUAGCUGCUCACUGUGACGUUAGCAACAGAAGAAGCA
rnacentral:rRNA from 1 species